rnacentral:rRNA from 1 species
AUACAGAGGUCUCAAGCGUUGUUCGGAUUCAUUGGGCGUAAAGGGUGCGUAGGUGGCGAUGUAAGUCUAACGUGAAAUCUCGGGGCUCAACCCCGAAAUUGCGUCGGAUACUGCGUUGCUUGAGGAUUGUAGAGGAGAGUGGAAUUCAUGGUGUAGCAGUGAAAUGCGCAGAUAUCAUGAGGAAGACCAGUUGCGAAGGCGACUCUCUGGGCAACUCCUGACACUCAGACGCGAAAGCUAGGGUAGC